rnacentral:tRNA from 1 species
GGCUACGUAGUUCAACUGGAUAGAAUAUCNNGGGUUGAGGGUUCGAAUCCUUCCGUGGUCACAA